AACGAACGCUGGCGGCAUGCCUAACACAUGCAAGUCGAACGAGACCUUCGGGUCUAGUGGCGCACGGGUGCGUAACGCGUGGGAAUCUGCCCCUUGGUUCGGAAUAACUUCGGGAAACUGAAGCUAAUACCGGAUAAUGACGUAAGUCCAAAGAUUUAUCGCCAAGGGAUGAGCCCGCGUAGGAUUAGCUAGUUGGUGGGGUAAAGGCUCACCAAGGCGACGAUCCUUAGCUGGUCUGAGAGGAUGAUCAGCCACACUGGGACUGAGACACGGCCCAGACUCCUACGGGAGGCAGCAGUGGGGGAAUAUUGGACAAUGGGCGGAAAGACCUGAUCCAGCAAUGCCGCGUGAGU
rnacentral:rRNA from 1 species